rnacentral:rRNA from 1 species
ACAACUUUCAGCGAUGGAUGUCUCGGCUCGAACACCGAUGAAGGGCGCAGCGAAGUGUGAUAAGCAUUGUGAAUUGCAGAAUUCCGUGAAUCAAUGGAGACCUGAACGCACACUGCGCUUUCGGGAUACCCCUGAAAGCAUGCCUGCUUCAGUGUCUAUG